rnacentral:rRNA from 1 species
UACGGAGGGUGCAAGCGUUGUCCGGAUUUAUUGGGUUUAAAGGGUGCGUAGGCGGUUCGUUAAGUCCGGGGUGAAAGCCCACUGCUCAACAGUGGAACUGCCCUGGAAACUGGCGGACUUGAGUACAGACGAGGGCGGCGGAAUGGAUGGUGUAGCGGUGAAAUGCAUAGAUACCAUCCAGAACCCCCGAUUGCGAAGCAGCUGCCUAGACUGUAACUGACGCUGAGGCAACGAAAGCGUGGGGGAGCAAACAGG